rnacentral:rRNA from 1 species
UUGGGCGUAAGCGCGCGUAGGCGGUUUUUUAAGUCUGAUGUGAAAGCCCACGGCUCAACCGUGGAGGGUCAUUGGAAACUGGAAAACUUGAGUGCAGAAGAGGAAAGUGGAAUUCCAUGUGUAGCGGUGAAAUGCGCAGAGAUAUGGAGGAACACCAGUGGCGAAGGCGACUUUCUGGUCUGUAACUGACGCUGAUGUGCGAAAGCGUGGGGAUCAAACAGGA